rnacentral:misc_RNA from 1 species
GAUGAAGAACGCAGCGAAAUGCGAUAAGUAGUGUGAAUUGCAGAAUUCAGUGAAUCAUCGAAUCUUUGAACGCACAUUGCGCCCCUUGGUAUUCCAUGGGGCAUGCCUGUUCGAGCGUCAUUUGUACCUUCAAGCUUUGCUUGGUGUUGGGUGUUUGUCUCGCCUUUGCGUGCAGACUCGCCUUAAAAUAAUUGGCAGCCGGCGUAUUGAUUUCGGAGCGCAGUACAUCUCGCGCUUUGCACUCAUAACGACAGCGUCCAAAAGUACAUUUUACACUCUUGACCUCGGAUCAGGUAGGGAUACCCGCUGAACUUAAGCAUAUCAAUAAGCGGAGGA